AGAGUUUGAUCCUGGCUCAGAAUGAACGCUGGCGGCAUGCCUUACACAUGCAAGUCGAACGGCAGCAUGACCUAGCUUGCUAGGUUGAUGGCGAGUGGCGAACGGGUGAGUAAUGCAUCGGAACGUGCCUUUUAGUGGGGGAUAACGUAGCGAAAGUUACGCUAAUACCGCAUAUUCUCUGAGGAGGAAAGCAGGGGACCUUCGGGCCUUGCGCUAGAAGAGCGGCCGAUGUCGGAUUAGCUAGUUGGUGAGGUAAAGGCUCACCAAGGCAACGAUCCGUAGCGGGUCUGAGAGGAUGAUCCGCCACACUGGGACUGAGACACGGCCCAGACUCCUACGGGAGGCAGCAGUGGGGAAUUUUGGACAAUGGGCGCAAGCCUGAUCCAGCCAUGCCGCGUGAGUGAAGAAGGCCUUCGGGUUGUAAAGCUCUUUCGGCUGGGAAGAAAUCGCACUCUCUAAUACAGGGUGUGGAUGACGGUACCAGCAUAAGAAGCACCGGCUAACUACGUGCCAGCAGCCGCGGUAAUACGUAGGGUGCGAGCGUUAUUCGGAAUUACUGGGCGUAAAGCGUGCGCAGGCGGUUGUGUAAGACAGACGUGAAAUCCCCGGGCUCAACCUGGGAACUGCGUUUGUGACUGCACGGCUAGAGUACGGCAGAGGGGGGUGGAAUUCCACGUGUAGCAGUGAAAUGCGUAGAGAUGUGGAGGAACACCGAUGGCGAAGGCAGCCCCCUGGGCCAGUACUGACGCUCAUGCACGAAAGCGUGGGGAGCAAACAGGAUUAGAUACCCUGGUAGUCCACGCCCUAAACGAUGUCAACUAGCUGUUGGUGGGGUUAAACCCAUUAGUAGCGUAGCUAACGCGUGAAGUUGACCGCCUGGGGAGUACGGCCGCAAGGUUAAAACUCAAAGGAAUUGACGGGGACCCGCACAAGCGGUGGAUGAUGUGGUUUAAUUCGAUGCAACGCGAAGAACCUUACCUACUCUUGACAUCCAGAGAACUUAGCAGAGAUGCUUUGGUGCCUUCGGGAACUCUGAGACAGGUGCUGCAUGGCUGUCGUCAGCUCGUGUUGUGAAAUGUUGGGUUAAGUCCCGCAACGAGCGCAACCCUUAUCCUUUGUUGCCAGCGGUUAGGCCGGGAACUCAAAGGAGACUGCCAGUGAUAAACUGGAGGAAGGUGGGGAUGACGUCAAGUCAUCAUGGCCCUUACGAGUAGGGCUACACACGUGCUACAAUGGCGCAUACAAAGAGAAGCGACCUCGCGAGAGCAAGCGGACCUCAUAAAGUGCGUCGUAGUCCGGAUUGGAGUCUGCAACUCGACUCCAUGAAGUCGGAAUCGCUAGUAAUCGUAGAUCAGUAUGCUACGGUGAAUACGUUCCCGGGCCUUGUACACACCGCCCGUCACACCAUGGGAGUGGGUUGCAAAAGAAGUAGGUAGCUUAACCUUCGGGAGGGCGCUUACCACUUUGUGAUUCAUGACUGGGGUGAAGUCGUAACAAGGUAACCGU
rnacentral:rRNA from 1 species